rnacentral:sRNA from 2 species
CGCACCGUCCUAGGGGAGUAGUCUCCCGCGAGCGCCACGCUCGCCCGGUACGCGUCAACAUACUUGGUCCACAGACCAUGGCGCGUGCGACCCACCAUGCAAACCUGCAUGGCCAGGCCUGCACAGACAGGCCCGGGGUU